rfam:Xenopus tropicalis strain Nigerian scaffold_9178_contig_1, whole genome shotgun sequence.
CCAAAGGCUCUUCUCAGAGCCCCCACUCACUCACUCACUCACUCACU